UGCUGUCUACUAAUUGGGCGUACGCUCGUUCUCGGUACUAAGAAGGGAAAAACUAGUUUUCUAGUUCCGGCGACGAGUGGGUUGGUUUGAGGUAUCUGCUGAAGCAAACGAUGCCGGCAAGAAGAAUGAGCGCUCUCGUAUACGACGCCAAUACCGAAAAAAGAGAGUGAAAGAAAAGGCCAGAGUUAGAAAAAGAAUGCUUUGCGGCUCGACGAGGGCAUCAUUGUAUGCAAUGGAAAAAACAGAGGCGAACAAAAUACUUUCUGAGGAAGUUCUCAUCGCAAAAAAGGAGAAACGGAUGGUGAUAGGCACGCAAGGUUCGCGGAAGUGGUUAGGUGUAGCUAUCAAGGAAAUUUUGGGGGACAGCCAAAGAAACGACUCUGACAAGGCCCAGGGAAAACCUAGCGACCGCGCCAAAAUUCAAAAACGAAAAGGCCCUAAAGACUAGAACUACGUUGGCGGAAAUAAUCAUUUGAGCCUAAAGCAACGAAAACUGCGGAACUGACCAAGAUCUCAAGUCAUCAAGAUCUGCCUGUUUUCCUCAAUUCCGUACUAUAGUGGUGGGCGAUGUGACCUUCAGCAUGUAUUAACAGUUCCUUUGUCGACAUUGUACACUGCCCAUUAAUCAUAGGCGGAGGCGACUAUGGCGACACAAACAAGCGGUCAUCGACGCACGCGAUUUUUUCGACUCGUCUGUUCUCGUUAGGUCUGACGAAGUACUACCGCCGCUGCCACCUGAAGUGCUGCUUCGGAAAUUACGGAGAAAGAAGUCCUAAGUUUUUUUGGUCUCUUUCCCUUGCUUGUUUUCUUCUUGUUUAUCCUUCUUUCUCUCUUGGCGAAAGAAUUUUGCCCGUGCAGACACUGCAACGGAUGACUAAACAAGACAGGGCUCUGUUAAGUUGCACCAGAAACUCGAGUGAGGUCUAUUUCACUGCAAUAAGAGCUGGAUACAAACGGUUUCCCAUACUGCUCGCGGCCAACGCGAAGCCAUGCUGACGUCGCAAACAAAGGUUUCGUGCUACGACAACGAACUGGCAACACAAUGUACCGCUAUGUCAAGCUUACAUUGACGCCACAAGCAAUAAUGACUCUGUAAGAAAGCGAAAAGGAAACGAAUAGCAGUGUCAACCAAUAAAACGUAAUAGUACAUGCACUUUUCUGGUGAAGAAGGUAAAGGCUUUUGUAUAGGUGAAGAAUGUGAAGAGGCUCUACGUAGUGAACUGAUUCUAACUGAACCAAGUGACAAGGAUAGCAAAAUCAACCGGAAGUUGCUGGAUAAUAGCAGCAUCAGCAGGGGACCACCCAUCAGACACAGACGAAGUGCAGUACCGGGACGUUCUUCCAGCUGGGCCCUUUAAGGGCAGGACAAAGAAAUAGUCAAGGUGUGGCUGGUUGCUGAUGACCCUUCCGCUUAUUUCCGAAUCCUUCUUCUCACUCGUAGAAGUUAGAGGCUCUGUGUUUUCAAGGUGGUGGUAAAUAGGUUGGCAGGUGACAAGCUGCACAGACCGGAAGUGGACAGCAAUCGUCGGGAUAAGGAAAAAUCGAAUGAAGUUUGCUAUACACGACAUACAGCUACAGGGCAAUCGUAGUGGGAAACUCUGCUUCUAUAAAACUGACUCUUAGCUAUAACAGUUUGUCGUUCUUCACGUUCCGUUAUAUUCUACGCUGUCAAUGGUAAUCGUCCAUAUAUAUAUGUGCCACCCAGAUCGAACACCGAUUUCAAGCGACAUACGUCUGUCAAUACCAGUUAGUAGGCUCUUUCGCCUACGCUGACGCUGACUCAAAAGUGCAUGUUGUUGUUCAGGAAAUAUUUGUUAAGCUUAAAGGGGCACGACAUUCUAAAACAAGGUACAAACUGCACGUAGGCAUGAUGCGACAUACAGAAGACCGUCCUUGCAUCGCACAAGCGGCCGUUCUAUACCUACUAGUGCCGGUAGGAAGUUAUGAAGCUUGAAAAAAAAAGUAAACAGAGUCUUUUUUUCUUAGAAAUCCGGUUCAAUUUAACGUCGGCAAAGUCGCUGAUAAUGAUUUCUACAUCACAGGCGAGUGGGGAGUUAAAAAAGCUUGUAAGAGAGGAACGUUCAUCCGGCACCAAUGUGACAGAAAGGGCAAUGGAGUGUAAAGAUCAUGGGGCAGGUGAACUUUUGCAUUUAAACCCAGUCUUAUUCAGCCAGAUGCGCUGGAGACAGUAAUAAAGCCAUUAGGAUUAGCAAACAUGUCAGAUUGUGUAUGUGGGCUUUGUUUAAGCUAAGCAUAUUGUAUAGAGUUGCCCCACAUAACGAUGGUAUCUGCACUUUUUAUGUUUUAUAGUAAAAUAAUACUGUUCAGCAGGGUAAAGUGGAGACGGAUUCAAUAUGCAAAACCAUUUGCCAUGACGUUAACGAAGAGUGAAGAAAGAAGAGAUAGAUUGUUUGAGCUUGUGGCUUUUUAGACAUUACUUCACUGCUAUUAGUCGCU